rnacentral:rRNA from 1 species
AUUGAACGCUGGCGGCAGGCCUAACACAUGCAAGUCGAACGGAGAGGCGGACGGGUGAGUAAUGACUAGGAAUCUGCCUGGUAGUGGGGGAUGACGUCCGGAAACGGGCGCUAAUCCCGCAUACUAUCAGAUGAGCCUGGGUCGGAUUAGCUAGUUGGUGGGGUAAGGGCCUACCAAGGCGACGGUCCGUAACUGGUCUGAGAGGAUGAUUAGUCACACUGGAACGGAGACACGGUCCAGACUCCUACGGUAGGCAGCAGUGGGGAAUAUUGGACAAUGGGCGAAAGCCUGAUCCAGCCAUGCCGCGUGUAUGAAGAAGGCCUUCGGGUUGUAAAGUACUUUCAGCGGGGAGGCGUUACCCGCAGAAGAAGCACCGGCUAACUCCGUGCCAGCAGCCGCGGUAAUUC